UACGUAGGGGGCGAGCGUUGUCCGGAUUUAUUGGGCGUAAAGAGCGUGUAGGCGGCCAGGCAGGUCUGCUGUGAAAACUCGAGGCUCAACCUCGAGACGUCGGCGGAAACCAUCUGGCUAGAGUCCGGAAGAGGAGAGUGGAAUUCCUGGUGUAGCGGUGAAAUGCGCAGAUAUCAGGAAGAACACCCGUGGCGAAGGCAGCUCGCUGGGACGGUACUGACGCUGAGACGCGAAAGCGUGGGGAGCAAACAGG
rnacentral:rRNA from 1 species